UACAGAGGUCCCCAAGCGUUGUUCGGAUUCACUGGGCGUAAAGGGUGCGCAGGUGGGCUGGUAAGUUCGAUGUGAAAGCCCUGGGCUCAACCUGGGAACUGCAUCCAAAACUACUGAGCUAGAGUACGGUAGAGGGUAGUGGAAUUUCCUGUGUAGCGGUGAAAUGCGUAGAUAUAGGAAGGAACACCAGUGGCGAAGGCGACUACCUGGACUGAUACUGACACUGAGGUGCGGAAGCGU
rnacentral:rRNA from 1 species